UAACUUCCGAACGUCCGCAUA
rnacentral:miRNA from 1 species